AACGAACGCUGGCGGCAGGCUUAACACAUGCAAGUCGAACGCCCCGCAAGGGGAGUGGCAGACGGGUGAGUAACGCGUGGGAAUCUACCCAGAUCUUCGGAACAACUGAGGGAAACUUCAGCUAAUACCGGAUACGCCCUACGGGGGAAAGAUUUAUCGGUUCUGGAUGAGCCCGCGUUGGAUUAGCUAGUUGGUGAGGUAACGGCUCACCAAGGCGACGAUCCAUAGCUGGUCUAAGAGGAUGAUCAGCCACACUGGGACUGAGACACGGCCCAGACUCCUACGGGAGGCAGCAGUGGGGAAUAUUGGACAAUGGGCGAAAGCCUGAUCCAGCCAUGCCGCGUGAGUGAUGAAGGCCUUAGGGUUGUAAAGCUCUUUCAGUGGGGAAGAUAAUGACGGUACCCACAGAAGAAGCCCCGGCUAACUUCGUGCCAGCCGCCGCAGUAAAAC
rnacentral:rRNA from 1 species